AACGUAGGAGACAAACGUUAUCCGGAGUUACUGGGCGUAAAGGGCGUGUAGGUGGUUUCGUAAGUCUGGCGUGAAAUAUCUCGGCUUAACCGAGGCAGGUCGUCGGAUACUGCGGAACUGGAGGACGGUAGAGGCGUGUGGAAUUCCGGGUGUAGUGGUGAAAUGCGUAGAUAUCGGGAGGAACACCAGUGGCGAAGGCGAUCUUCUGGACGGAUACUGACGCUGAGGCGCGAAAGCUAGGGGAGCAAACGGG
rnacentral:rRNA from 1 species